AUUGAACGCUGGCGGCAUGCCUUACACAUGCAAGUCGAACGGCAGCACGGGUGCUUGCACCUGGUGGCGAGUGGCGAACGGGUGAGUAAUACAUCGGAACGUACCUUAUCGUGGGGGAUAACGCAGCGAAAGCUGUGCUAAUACCGCAUACGCCCUGAGGGGGAAAGCGGGGGAUCGAAAGACCUCGCGCGAUUAGAGCGGCCGAUGCCUGAUUAGCUUGUUGGUGGGGUAAAAAGCCCACCAAGGCGACGAUCAGUAGCUGGUCUGAGAGGACGAUCAGCCACACUGGGACUGAGACACGGCCCAGACUCCUACGGGAGGCAGCAGUGGGGAAUUUUGGACAAUGGGGGCAACCCUGAUCCAGCAAUGCCGCGUGAGUGAAGAAGGCCUUCGGGUUGUAAAGCUCUUUUGUCAGGGAAGAAACAGCAGCUCUAACACAGUCUGCGAAUGACGGUACCUGAAGAAUAAGCACCGGCUAACUACGUG
rnacentral:rRNA from 1 species